rnacentral:rRNA from 1 species
GACGAACGCUGGCGGCGUGCUUAACACAUGCAAGUCGAACGGAAAGACCCUGCUUUUGUGGGGUGCUCGAGUGGCGAACGGGUGAGUAACACGUGAGUAACCUGCCCUUGACUUUGGGAUAACUUCAGGAAACUGGGGCUAAUACCGGAUAGGAGCUCCUGCUGCAUGGUGGGGGUUGGAAAGUUUCGGCGGUUGGGGAUGGACUCGCGGCUUAUCAGCUUGUUGGUGGGGUAGUGGCUUACCAAGGCUUUGACGGGUAGCCGGCCUGAGAGGGUGACCGGCCACAUUGGGACUGAGAUACGGCCCAGACUCCUACGGGAGGCAGCAGUGGGGAAUAUUGCACAAUGGGCGGAAGCCUGAUGCAGUAACGCCGCGUGCGGGAUGACGGCCUUCGGGUUGUAAACCGCUUUCGCCUGUGACGAAGCGUGAGUGACGGUAAUGGGUAAAGAAGCACCGGCUAACUACGUG